rnacentral:lncRNA from 1 species
GCAGGAGGCUGGAAAGGCUGCCCAGGAAGGCGGGGCCCAUCCCUUCCUCCCAGCCCUGCUCCCACCUCAAGCUCUUUCUUCCUGUAUUUACAGCAGCACUGGGCUUAUUUACAGCACGGCGCUAUGUGUUAAAAAUGGUUUAUCUUACAAAAAACAUAAAGGCCGGGGCCAGGCUGGGGGGAUAAGACAAAUCGUGGGGUCACCCCCAUGAAGGCAUCCCCCUCCCCAAGGGCUUGAGCUCCCUGCAAACCUCCUGGAGCAGGUGAGAAGGUGGAGUCAUUCUGCAGCUCAAGCCCAGGCUUGGGGAUGCUCUGGGGGUCCGUGGACUAAAGGCACGUGGGGUGGCAUAUGAGAGUGCGCAUGUGCACACGUGUUCCCAGGCCCCUAAAACUGCUGCCCCUGACCACCCCUCAUGCUCUGCUGGCACUUCACAAAAGCGCAUUCACAUGUUGGCCAUUAGUAAGCAUCGUCACAAGUCUGAGAAGCAGUAACCCUCAUUAUCCUCAUACUCCAAGUGAGAACCCGAGGCCCAGGAGGCUAA